CGCGGAAACGGUCAAUGAGCUCAGGCAGUAGGGGCUUGAUGGCUUCAGGCAGGGAAGGAGGCUAGUGGAGACCAAGAGGAGCCGCCCCCUGCCUGGUGCCCCGCUGCAGAGCCUGAUUGCUCAUUCGGAGCGGUUUCUACUUGUAAUUUGUUGGCUCAAAGCCCGAGAAGCGGUGCCGGCCCAGAAGUGACAUUCCCUUCCACACCUUUAAGCGAUACUCUUUUAGCUGUGUCAUCUUCCGAUCACUCUGGGCCUCGACCCCAGGCCCCCGCUGUGUCCGCACAGGCCCCGGCCCGCCUCCUUUGCUGGUGCUCUUUCCACCAGGGCUCUCUCUGGGGCCCAAGCCCCUCUCCAUCGGGAAGCCAGCCGGCUGCCGGCAGCGGUGAAAAGACCCCGUCCUCACGGCCGAUAUGUCAGGCCGGAAACGAGGAUGGGGCUGCGUGUUAGAACCACCUGAUGUCCAAGGCCGGACCAGACAAACUCGAAGCCAUGGGAGCGGGACCAGACAGCAGGAUGGUUGGUGAAAGUGCUCAGCUGAGCCCAGCCUGGGCCGGGUCUGAGCAUCACUGCCCUACAGCCUUAUUGCCUAAGCUCCGCCCGGGACCUCAGCAUCGCUGGGAAUUUGUUAAAAAUGCUGGACCCUAGGGGCGCCUGGGUGGCUCAGUCGGUGAAGCGUCCGACUUCGGCUCAGGUCAUGAUCUCACUGGCCGUGAGUUCGAGCCCCACGUUGGGCUCUGUGCUGACAGCUCAGACCCUGGA